CCCGUAAACAAGUUAAAAUGGAAUUGAUCCAUUUUUCUGUGAAAAGUGAAAACGAACAACAGCAACAAGCUUUAGAUUGCAGAAGAGCAGUCUUUCAAAGAUUUUGAUGCAGUGAUAUUUGAGGAAUAGUUUGCUGAAAAUGAACUCGGCAUCAGCCAUCCAAGAUGUAGAUUAUUUGAUCCUCUGGAGUGAAUGGGUGCCGUCAGAGUGAGAGUCCAAAUUUACGUAAGAUUUUUUUUUUUUUUUUUUGCAAAUCUGUUUUGAUGAUGAAACAAACUUACUCUGCAUUCUGGAUGGCCUGAGGUCUGGCAGGAUUGAUCCAUGCAAUUCAGUCCAUCCAUCCACACUGUUCCAGCAUCUCUGCCUGCAGCUGUCACAUCACAUGAUGAUCUGGAUUGAGUUCUGAUGACUGAUAAGCUGCUAAAGCUGGUUUUAGAUCAACAUCAUCACACAAACUGAUGUAAGUAGGGGUCUAAUCCUUGAUGUUUGCUUGUACUGUUCCAAAACUACCUUCAAGUAUAGUUCAGCCCAAACAUGAACAUUC